rnacentral:rRNA from 1 species
UACGGAGGAUCCGAGCGUUAUCCGGAUUUAUUGGGUUUAAAGGGUGCGUAGGUGGUUUUAUAAGUCAGCGGUGAAAGUUUGCAGCUUAGCUGUAAAAAUGCCGUUGAAACUGUAAGACUUGAGUGUAAAUGAGGUAGGCGGAAUGCGUGGUGUAGUGGUGAAAUGCAUAGAUAUCACGCAGAACUCCGAUUGCGAAGGCAGCUUACUAAGCUACAACUGACACUGAAGCACGAAAGCGUGGGGAUCAAACAGGAUUAGAUACCCUGGUAGUCCACGCAGUAAACGAUGAUUACUAGCUGUUUGCGAUAUACCGUAAGUGACUAAGCGAAAGCGAUAAGUAAUCCACCUGGGGAGUACGCCGGCAACGGUGAA